UACGUAGGGUGCAAGCGUUAAUCGGAAUUACUGGGCGUAAAGCGUGCGCAGGCGGUUUUGUAAGUCCGUCGUGAAAUCCCCGGGCUCAACCUGGGAAUUGCGAUGGAGACUGCAAGGCUAGAAUCUGGCAGAGGGGGGUAGAAUUCCACGUGUAGCAGUGAAAUGCGUAGAGAUGUGGAGGAACACCGAUGGCGAAGGCAGCCCCCUGGGUCAAGAUUGACGCUCAUGCACGAAAGCGUGGGGAGCAAACAGG
rnacentral:rRNA from 1 species